rnacentral:rRNA from 1 species
AGCGUCGUGCUUAUACUCUGCCGUCGGGACAGUAGUGAUAUCUUUACUACCCUCCGGGGUGUAAAAUAUCGUCAGGUCUCGACGAGUAGGUGGGCCGCGGCGGUGAGCGCAGAAGGACUGGGCGUAGGCCCGUCUGGAGCCGCCGUCGGUGCAGAUCUUGGUGGUAGUAGCAAAUACUCCAGCGAGGCCCUGGAGGACUGACGUGGAGAAGGGUUUCGUGUGAACAGCCGUUGCACACGAGUCAGUCGAUCCUAAGCCCUAGGAGAAAUCCGAUGUUAAUGCAGUUGUGUCUUUAUUAUACGAUUGAUAACUGUUUAGUGUGAGAGUUUUUCAAACAGUUGAUGUAACCAUACUUUGAUACAGAUAUAUAUACUAAUGCUGGCUGAUACUACUAUCACGCACUCCUUCUUGAACCCGCCUACUAUUUGAACGAAGUGCAGCACACUAGUUCUACUGUUGACGCGGUAGUUGUUAGACUCUCACUUGUUCAAAAAACAGCGGAUGCAAUGUGUGUUUUGUGGUUAUUGUUUAGUUGAAACACAUUUUUAUAUUGUAGAAAAGUGUCUUCUGUCUCUAUCCACUAAUAAUGUAUCGUUGUUGUUAGAGAAGUAUCACACUCAUUGGGCGAAAGGGAAUCCGGUUCCUAUUCCGGAACCCGGCCGCGGAACCGUUUACAAGUCGGGCCCUCUUUAGAGAGUUCGUCGGGGCAACCCAACAAGACCUGGAGACGCCGUCGGGAGAUCCGGGAAGAGUUUUCUUUUCUGUAUGAGCGUUCGAGUUCCCUGGAAUCCUCUAGCAGGGAGAUAGGGUUUGGAACGCGAAGAGCACCGCAGUUGCGGCGGUGUCUGGAUCGUCCCCUCGGACCUUGAAAAUCCAGGAGAGGGCCACGUGGAGGUGUCGCGCCGGUUCG